UUCAUCCGUCGUUGACAGCGCGUCGCUUGUCGUUUUAUUCAUAAUUUCGCGUUCUUACAAAAUAUAAACAUCGUUGUUUGUACUUAGUUUUUCGUUAAACUAAAGUUUUGUACCGUGAUUUAUUCGUUUUGUAUAUUCACUAUCUCAAAGUAGUUGUUAUUAUUAAGAUUUCGCGAAAUAAGCAAUGUGCACAGACUUUGACCUUGAUCUUCGCCGGUUUUGAAGAUGGUAUCAUUUGAAGCCGGUUUUAACAAGUUCCAAGGGCUCAUCUGGAAUGGUCACAACAUACAUAGAAAAUUAGUAUCUACUCACAUUUGAUUUGCGGUGCUCGAUACACUGGUCGAGUUCCUGCAACAAACAAAUGCCACCCGACGGAGAAUUUAAUUCCGCAUCUCUAGACGCCACGCUGAAGUUAUUGAGUCGGUAAGGUCACGGGUAAACCCAA